GACGAACGCUGGCGGCGGGCUUAACACAUGCAAGUCGAACGGAAAGGCCCUGCUUUUGUGGGGUGCUCGAGUGGCGAACGGGUGAGUAACACGUGAGUAACCUGCCCUUGACUUUGGGAUAACUUCAGGAAACUGGGGCUAAUACCGGAUAGGAGCUCCUGCUGCAUGGUGGGGGUUGGAAAGUUUCGGCGGUUGGGGAUGGACUCGCGGCUUAUCAGCUUGUUGGUGGGGUAGUGGCUUACCAAGGCUUUGACGGGUAGCCGGCCUGAGAGGGUGAACGGCCACCUUGGGCCUGAGAUACGGCCCAGACUCCUACGGGAGGCAGCAGUGGGGAAUAUUGCACAAUGGGCGGACGCCUGAUGCAGCAACGCCGCGUGCGGGAUGACGGCCUUCGGGUUGUAAACCGCUUUCGCCUGUGACGAAGCGUGAGUGACGGUAAUGGGUAAAGAAGCACCGGCUAACUACGUG
rnacentral:rRNA from 1 species